AGAGUUUGAUCAUGGCUCAGGACGAACGCUGGCGGCGUGCUUAACACAUGCAAGUCGAACGGUGAACCGCUUUCGGGCGGGGAUCAGUGGCGAACGGGUGAGUAACACGUGGGUAACCUGCCCUCCACUCUGGGAUAACUCCGGGAAACCGGGGCUAAUACCGGAUACGACCUGAGGCGGCAUCGCCUCGGGUGGAAAGUUUUUCGGUGGAGGAUGGACCCGCGGCCUAUCAGCUUGUUGGUGGGGUAAUGGCCUACCAAGGCUUUGACGGGUAGCCGGCCUGAGAGGGCGACCGGCCACACUGGGACUGAGACACGGCCCAGACUCCUACGGGAGGCAGCAGUGGGGAAUAUUGCGCAAUGGGCGAAAGCCUGACGCAGCGACGCCGCGUGGGGGAUGACGGCCUUCGGAGUGUAAACCUCUUUCGACCCGGACGAAC
rnacentral:rRNA from 1 species